rnacentral:misc_RNA from 1 species
GGUCGUUUUAUCCUCGCGUGCUGUGUUUUGUGCAAGAGAAGGAAGAGGGAGCAUUAAUGGUGUGGUCGCAGUUCCCGAGGAAAGGCUGAGUUUUGCAACUGUAAAGAGCCUUUUGCCAUGUUACCGUUCCCAGAAAGAGCUUAGUAGUUGGGAACGUUGCCAAAAAAAGAAGAGACUUGCGACCCCACCCUUUAAACAUGUGGCGCUUUAAUUUCACUUCUGUCGAACUUGGCAACUAUACGGGUAAUUUUU